GUCUAAUUGAGUAAUAUUAUGAUCUGUUCUUGUUGGGUGAGGGGGAAUUGCAUAGUAAUACAGUUAUUUCUGUUGAUAAUUCUAGUUAUUUAUACCUAUGGAAGCACAAAUUGUAAAGCAAGCAUGCAUUAAUAAUGUAAUUAAUCAUUAAGCGACGAGAGGUAAUUUAAAAUUAAAAAUGUUUCUGCCCGGUUUCGAACCGGGGACCUUUCGCGUGUGAGGCGAACGUGAUAACCACUACACUACAG